GGAUCCAGACUUUGAUUAUGGCUCAGAGUGAACGCUGGCGGCGUGCUUAACACAUGCAAGUCGAACGAGAACGGGUUAUAGCUUGCUAUAACUGUCAGCUAAGUGGCGCACGGGUGAGUAAUGUAUAGUUAACCUGCCCUCGAGAAAGGAAUAACAGUUGGAAACGACUGCUAAUGCCCUAUAUGCCUUUAAGACAUAAGUCUGCAAGGGAAAUGCUUUAGUGCUCGAGGAUGGGACUGUAUGGUAUCAGCUAGUUGGUGAGGCAAUGGCUCACCAAGGCAAUGACGCCUAACUGGUUUGAGAGGAUGAUCAGUCACACUGGAACUGAGACACGGUCCAGACUCCUACGGGAGGCAGCAGUGGGGAAUAUUGCACAAUGGAGGAAACUCUGAUGCAGCANCGCCGCGUGGAGGAUGACACUUUUCGGAGCGUAAACUCCUUUUAUAUAGGAAGAUAAUGACGGUACUAUAUGAAUAAGCACCGGCUAACUCCGUGCCAGCAGCCGCGGUAAU
rnacentral:rRNA from 1 species